rnacentral:rRNA from 1 species
UACGUAGGGUGCGAGCGUUGAUCGGAAUUACUGGGCGUAAAGCGUGCGCAGGCGGUUCGCCAAGUCAGGUGUGAAAUCCCCGGGCUCAACCUGGGAAUUGCGCUUGAAACUAGCGAGCUUGAGUGUGGCAGAGGGGGGUGGAAUUCCACGUGUAGCAGUGAAAUGCGUAGAGAUCGGGAGGAACAUCUGUGGCGAAGGCGGCCAUCUGGACCAGCACUGACACUGAGGCACGAAAGCGUGGGGAGCAAACAGG